UACGUAGGUGGCAAGCGUUGUCCGGAUUUACUGGGUGUAAAGGGCGUGUAGCCGGGAAGGCAAGUCAGAUGUGAAAUCCGGAGGCUCAACCUCCGAAUUGCAUUUGAAACUGUUUUUCUUGAGUACUGGAGAGGCAGACGGAAUUCCUAGUGUAGCGGUGAAAUGCGUAGAUAUUAGGAGGAACACCAGUGGCGAAGGCGGCUUACUGGACUGUAAAUGACGCUGAGGCUCGAAAGCGUGGGGAGCAAACAGG
rnacentral:rRNA from 1 species